GGUAUCAUGGCCGAGUGGUCUAAGGCGCCAGAUUUAAGAGCCCUGCUCUGUUUCCUGGUGACGGUUUCGUCGCGUGGGUUCGAACCCCACUGAUACCA
rfam:Schizophyllum commune H4-8 unplaced genomic scaffold SCHCOscaffold_17, whole genome shotgun sequence.